CAAUAGCGUAUAUUAAAGUUGUUGCAGUUAAAAAGCUCGUAGUUGGAUUUCCGGCGUGAGGGAUCAGUCUGACUUCUAGUCAGUACUUGGUCCUCUCAUGCCGUCCUUGAAUGGUGCAUCCUGGCAUUAAGUUGUCGGGGUGAGAGCCGUUCAUCGUUUACUGUGAGAAAAUUAGAGUGUUCAAAGCAGGCUUAUGCCGUUGAAUAUAUUAGCAUGGAAUAAUAAGAUAGGACUUUGGUACUAUUUUGUUGGUUUGAGAACCAAGGUAAUGAUUAACAGGGACAGUUGGGGCCGUUUAUAUUUCGUUGUCAGAGGUGAAAUUCUUGGAUUUACGAAAGAUAAACUUCUGCGAAAGCAUUCGGCAAGGAUGUUUUCAUUGAUCAAGAACGAAAGUUAGGGGAUCGAAGACGAUUAGAUACCAU
rnacentral:rRNA from 1 species